GACGAACGCUGGCGGCGUGCUUAACACAUGCAAGUCGAACGGAAAGGCCCUGCUUUUGUGGGGUGCUCGAGUGGCGAACGGGUGAGUAACACGUGAGUAACCUGCCCUUGACUUUGGGAUAACUUCAGGAAACUGGGGCUAAUACCGGAUAGGAGCUCCUGCUGCAUGGUGGGGGUUGGAAAGUUUCGGCGGUUGGGGAUGGACUCGCGGCUUAUCAGCUUGUUGGUGGGGUAGUGGCUUACCAAGGCUUUGACGGGUAGCCGGCCUGGGAGGGUGACCGGCCACAUUGGGACUGAGAUACGGCCCAGACUCCUACGGGAGGCAGCAGUCGGGAAUAUUGCACAAUGGGCGGAAGCCUGAUGCAGCAACGCCGCGUGCGGGAUGACGGCCUUCGGGUUGUAAACCGCUUUCGCCUGUGACGAAGCGUGAGUGACGGUAAUGGGUAAAGAAGCACCGGCUAACUACGUG
rnacentral:rRNA from 1 species